AUCCAGCUGAUGAGUUUCUAACAGGACGAAACGCGCAUCCUGGAU
rnacentral:hammerhead_ribozyme from 1 species